GAGGGUAUAACUCAGUGGUACAGCGUAUGCCUAAAAAGCAUGAGGUCCUGGGUUCAAUCCCCAGUGCCUCCA
rfam:Camelus ferus unplaced genomic scaffold scaffold1687, whole genome shotgun sequence.